rnacentral:rRNA from 1 species
UACGUAUGGUGCAAGCGUUAUCCGGAUUUACUGGGUGUGAAGGGAGCGCAGGCGGCACGGCAAGCCUGAUGUGAAAGCCCGCGGCCCAACCGCGGGACUGCAUUGGGAACUACCGGGCUGGAGUGCCGGAGAGGUAGGCGGAAUUCCUAGUGUAGCGGUGAAAUGCGUAGAUAUUAGGAGGAACACCAGUGGCGAAGGCGGCCUACUGGACGGUGACUGACGCUGAGGCUCGAAAGCGUGGGGAGCAAACAGG